rnacentral:misc_RNA from 1 species
GAAAUGCGAUAAGUAAUGUGAAUUGCAGAAUUCAGUGAAUCAUCGAAUCUUUGAACGCACUUUGCGCCCGCCAGUAUUCUGGCGGGCAUGCCUGUUCGAGCGUCAUUACAACCCUCAGGCCCCCGGGCCUGGCGUUGGGGAUCGGCGGAAGCCCCCUGCGGGCACAACGCCGUCCCCCAAAUACAGUGGCGGUCCCGCCGCAGCUUCCAUUGCGUAGUAGCUAACACCUCGCAACUGGAGAGCGGCGCGGCCACGCCGUAAAACACCCAACUUCUGAAUGUUGACCUCGAAUCAGGUAGGAAUACCCGCUGAACUUAAGC